rnacentral:rRNA from 1 species
AGAGUUUGAUCAUGGCUCAGAACGUACGCUGGCGGCACGCCUAAUACAUGCAAGUCGAACGAAGUAGCAAUACUUAGUGGCAGACGGGUGAGUAACAUGUAGGUAUCUUCCCUUUGGUGAGGAAUAACACGAGGAAACUUGUGCUAAUACCUCAUAAGUCUUUACGGAGAAAGCUUUAUGCGCCAUUGGAUGAGCCUGCACUUGAUUAGUUUGUUGGUGGGGUAAUGGCCUACCAAGACAAUGAUCAAUAGCUGAUUUGAGAGGAUGAUCAGCCACAUUGGGACUGAGACACGGCCCAAACUCCUACGGGAGGCAGCAGUAGGGAAUCUUGCACAAUGGAGGCAACUCUGAUCCAGCCAUGCCGCGUGCAGGAAGACUGCCCUAUGGGUUGUAAACUGCUUUUAUACAGGAAGAAUUGCAUCUACGUGUAGUUGCUUGACGGUACUGUACGAAUAAGGAUCGGCUAACUCCGUGCCAGCAGCCGCGGUAAUACGGAGGAUCCAAGCGUUAUCCGGAAUUAUUGGGUUUAAAGGGUCCGUAGGCGGUUUUUUAAGUCAGAGGUGAAAUCCUGCAGCUCAACUGUAGCAUUGCCUUUGAUACUGAAAGACUUGAGUUAUUGUGAAGUAGUUAGAAUGUGUAGUGUAGCGGUGAAAUGCAUAGAUAUUACACAGAAUACCGAUUGCGAAAGCAGAUUACUAACAAUAUACUGACGCUCAUGGACGAAAGCGUGGGUAGCGAACAGGAUUAGAUACCCUGGUAGUCCACGCCGUAAACGAUGGAUACUAGCUGUUCGAUCAACAUUGGUUGAUUGAGUGGUUAAGCGAAAGUGAUAAGUAUCCCACCUGGGGAGUACGCUCGCAAGAGUGAAACUCAAAGGAAUUGACGGGGGCCCGCACAAGCGGUGGAGCAUGUGGUUUAAUUCGAUGAUACGCGAGGAACCUUACCAGGGCUUAAAUGUAAGUUGCAUAGAUCAGAGAUGAUCUUUUCUUCGGACCACUUACAAGGUGCUGCAUGGUUGUCGUCAGCUCGUGCCGUGAGGUGUCAGGUUAAGUCCUAUAACGAGCGCAACCCCUGUCGUUAGUUGCCAGCAAGUAAUGUUGGGUACUCUAGCGAGACUGCCGGUGCAAACCGCGAGGAAGGUGGGGACGACGUCAAAUCAUCACGGCCCUUACGUCCUGGGCUACACACGUUCUACAAUGGCCGGUACAGAGAGCAGCCACUACGCGAGUAGGAGCGAAUCUUCAAAACCGGUCUCAGUUCGGAUCGCAGUCUGCAACUCGACUGCGUGAAGCUGGAAUCGCUAGUAAUCGGAUAUCAGCCAUGAUCCGGUGAAUACGUUCCCGGGCCUUGUACACACCGCCC